CAAAACUCAAUCAAAGUAUCAAACACACCUUUAGUUUCUUUAUAUUGUUUUCUUCUUCUACACUUUCUGUGCACCCUUUAGUGUUCCAUAAGAAAUUAUUUUUUGGUAUCAUGUAACAUUUCUCAGGAUUAGGCAAAGAUCGUCGUGGACAUGGAUUCAAGCAUCUCGAUCUCCAGCAGUGUGAGAAAUUUAAGGAAUUUGGAGCACCUGAGUUUCAUCAUGACUGCGCGAAGGAACUCGAAAUUCAUAGUGAGUUCAAAGUCUGUUAGGUGGCCCUAUUCAUAACACGUGUGAAAGGUAAGUGUGCAUAUAGACCCACAUGAAGAGGUGCAAUUAAUUAAGUAAGGAUGUUGGAUCAAGAACGUAGAUCAAUUAGGAAAAAACACAUUUUCUUGGAUUAGUCUAUUUUGUUCAUAAGGGUCUUAAGUUUGAGUAUAAAUAAAUUAUUUUGGCUGCUCAUAAUAUAUUUUCAUAUAAGUUAUUUAGGACCUAGGGGAAAAUUGUAGGUUUUGCACUUAUGCUUAGUUUAAUACAUGUGCAAUUUUGCUUUUCAAAUUUAUUUGUAGUUUCCUAUAAGCUUAACUUGGUUGAAAUAGUGUAUUUCACCUUUUCUUUCUUGUAUUUUAGAUAAUUUCAUCCGUUUGGAAUUUGAGUCUAAUUUCCUUACUUAGUUAAAUAGUGAAUCAAGGGAAGAUCUAAAGAAUUCAAUCAUACUCAUGGGCUCAUGGGUUUGUCCUUCAGCCGGAAUUGGAUUUUUAUUUUACCAAGAUUUACUAUUAUUUAUAAAGAGAAGGAAUUUUUUCACAUUUUUUUCCUAUAAAAUAUCAAUUGAUCAGUAAUUAUACUGAAAUUCAAAUUAAAGUAUGAGUUAGAUGUAUGGAAAUGGAUCUCUCCAUUUCCUUUUCUUUUUCUGUUUUUUUUUUUGAGAGAACAAAUGUCGCUCUCUAUAGUGUAGGUAUCAUCUUAAUUUUUUUAGAGUUUAUGAAAUGGAGGAAAAAAAAUGGAGAGAUGUAUUUCUUGUAUUAGAUGUUGGAAUUUUUGCUAAUAACGUCGUGAUGUUUUUUCUUUCAUUUUUUAAAUUUUAGGUGUAUCUGAACAUUUUAAGGAAAUGAUAUACGUAUCCGUACUCUCUUCAAUCUUAAUUUACAUAAGGAUAUAAUUACUGAUCAGUUUGUUUUUUUACAAAUUAUAAAAAUGUUUACUUCCUUUGACUAUGAGCAAUGUUUUUUAGAUAUCUUAUAUUUUUAAACACACUAUGAAUGACAUUUCUUAUU